rnacentral:rRNA from 1 species
GGCUCAGAUUGAACGCUGGCGGCAUGCUUUACACAUGCAAGUCGAACGGCAGCACGGGCUUCGGCCUGGUGGCGAGUGGCGAACGGGUGAGUAAUGCAUCGGAACGUACCGUGUAAUGGGGGAUAACGUAGCGAAAGUUACGCUAAUACCGCAUACGCCCUGAGGGGGGAAAGCGGGGGGAUCGUAAGACCUCGCGUUAUACGAGCGGCCGAUGUCGGAUUAGCUAGUUGGUGGGGUAAAGGCCUACCAAGGCGACGAUCCGUAGCGGGUCUGAGAGGAUGAUCCGCCACACUGGGACUGAGACACGGCCCAGACUCCUACGGGAGGCAGCAGUGGGGAAUUUUGGACAAUGGGCGCAAGCCUGAUCCAGCCAUGCCGCCGUGAGUGAAGAAGGCCUUCGGGUUGUAAAGCUCUUUCAGACGGAAAGAAAUCGCGCGCUCUAACAUAGCGUGUGGAUGACGGUACCGUAAGAAGAAGCACCGGCUAACUACGUG